rnacentral:rRNA from 1 species
UACAGAGGUCUCAAGCGUUGUUCGGAUUUACUGGGCGUAAAGGGCGCGUAGGCGGUGUGUCAAGUCAGGUGUGAAAUCCCCGGGCUAACCUGGGAACUGCGCUUGUAACUGGCAAGCUAGAGUGUGGCAGAGGGGGUGGAAGUUCCAGGUGUAGCAGUGAAAUGCGUAGAGAUCUGGAGGAACACCGAUGGCGAAGGCAGCCCCCUGGGCUAACACUGACGCUCAUGCACGAAAGCGUGGGGAGCAAACAGG